GACGAACGCUGGCGGCGUGCUUAACACAUGCAAGUCGAACGGAAAGGCCCUGCUUUUGUGGGGUGCUCGAGUGGCGAACGGGUGAGUAACACGUGUGUAACCUGCCCUUGACUUUGGGAUAACUUCAGGAAACUGGGGCUAAUACCGGAUAGGAGCUCCUGCUGCAUGGUGGGGUUUGGUCAGUUUCGGCGGUUGGGGAUGGACUCGCGGCUUAUCAGCUUGUUUGUGGGGUAGUGGCUUACCAAGGCUUUGACGGGUAGCCGGCCUGAGAGGGUGACCGGCCACAUUGGGACUGAGAUACGGCCCAGACUCCAACGGGAGGCAGCAGUGGGGAAUAGUGAACAAUGGGCGGAAGCCUGAUGCAGCAAAGCAGCGUGCGGGAUGACGGCCUUCGGGUUGUAAACCGCUUUCGACUGUGACGAAGAGUGAGUGACGGUAAUGGGUAAAGAAGCACCGGCUAACUACGUG
rnacentral:rRNA from 1 species